CUGUGUGUGUGUGUGUGUGUGUCUACUCUGGCGUGUAAGACUGAUCUGCUGUUUAUAAAACACAAAUACUCCAGAUCUGUCAAUCACUCACUCACUCUCACACACACACACACACACACACACACACACACACACACACACACACACACAAGAGGAGUCCAGAGUAGAGGAGAUACAGGCCAGCCGGCACACACACACGCACACACACACACACACACACGCACACACACACACACACACACACACACAAGAGGAGUCCAGAGUAGAGGAGAUACAGGCCAGCCGGCACACACACACGCACACACACACACACACACACACACACACACACACACACACACACAA